rnacentral:rRNA from 1 species
CAGUAGCCGCGAUAAUACGAAGGGUGCAAGCGUUACUCGGAAUUACUGGGCGUAAAGCGUGCGUAGGUGGUGGUUUAAGUCCGUUGUGAAAGCCCUGGGCUCAACCUGGGAAUUGCAGUGGAUACUGGGUCACUAGAGUGUGGUAGAGGAUAGUGGAAUUUCCGGUGUAGCGGUGAAAUGCGUAGAUAUAGGAAGGAACACCAGUGGCGAAGGCGACCACCUGGACUGAUACUGACACUGAGGUGCGAAAGCGUGGGGAGCAAACAGGAUUAGAUACCCCCGUAGUCCCUGUCUCUUAUAC